AUGAGAGUGCGACCUCUCAAUCAGGGACCACUCUCUGCAUCAGACCAUUUGGCAGCCAAUCCCGAGACUCCCCCUUUCCUGAAGCCUAGCACACCCCUCCCACUACCCCAUAUUAUAAAAACCCUAUGCCCCAGAGCCCGGGGCUCCUGGCUCAGAACCGUUGCAGCGGAGCCCCCAGGAGCCCAGGCUCGAGUUUGUGAUAAUAAAGGCUCUUUUGCUUUUGCAUCGGAAUUGGCUCCUUGGUGGCUGUGGGAUUUGCCAUCAGAUCCCACUGAUAUAAAUCACCCUGGAAGAUUCCCUAAUGUGUUUUCCUUCUCUCAGAGGCAAGUGGCAGGGCUGCAGUCCCCAACCUUCAGGCCACAGAUGGAUACCAAUCUAUACCUUGUUAGGAACCAGGGCCACAUAGCAGAAGAUCAAUCCCGAGAUAAAACCAUCAGGUUGUGGAACACUUUGGGUGUGUGCAAAUACACGGUGCAGGAUGAGAGCCACUCAGAGUGGGUGUCUUUUGUCCGCUUCUCACCCAACGGCAGCAACCCUAUCAUCGUCUCUUGUGGCUGGGACAAGCUGGUUAAGGUGUGGAAUCUGGCUAAUAUGCAAGCUGAAGACCAAUCACAUUGGCCACACCGGCUAUCUGAACACGGUGACUGUUUCGCCAGAUGGGUCCCUCUGUGCUUCUGGAGGCAAGGAUGGCCAGGCCAUGCUCUGGGACCUCAAUGAAGGCAAGUACCUUUAUACGCUAGAUGGUGGGGACAUCAUCAAUGCCCUGUGUUUCAGCCCCAACCACUACUGGCUGUGUGCUGCCACGGGCCCCAGCAUCAAGAUUUGGGACUUAGAGGGCAAGAUCAUUGUAGAUGAGCUGAAGCAAGAAGUAAUCGGUACCAGCAGCAAGGCAGAGCCACCUCAGUGCACUUCUCUGGCAUGGUCUGCUGAUGGUCAGACUCUGUUUGCUGGCUACACGGACAGCCUGGUGUGAGUGUGGCAGGUGACCAUUAGUACUCGCUAGAAAUGAAUUACGGCACAAAUAAAAAACUGGUUUGUCUG